AAUAUGUUAGUAGAAUUAGUAUAUAUAUUAAAAAUUAUAAUAUUCUAUAUUAUUUAAUUUAUUGAAUUAUCUAAUUCAAUAUAUCUAAUUUACUAUUUUCAUAACGUCAUAUUUAUAUUUUAUAUUGCUAAUCAUGUUAAAUAAGUUAUAUAUAUAUAAUUAUAUAUAUAUAACUAUUUCUACUUAAUUUUAAGAUUAUAAAAAACUUUUUAUAAAUAUUUUUAAAAUUAAAAUUUCUACGUUUUA
rnacentral:tRNA from 1 species